GAGUAAGAAUUUGAAGGUAGAGAAAAGAAAAGAAAAGAAAAGAAAAGAGAAGAGAGAAAGAAAGAGAGAGAGAGAGAAUAAAAGGGAGGUCAAUGGUGAUAAAGAGAAUAGAGUUUUGUAUAGAGUUUUUGAAGAUAACAAUGGAUUUAGCGGCGGUAGUGGCUGAAGCCGCGAGAGUCUUAUUGAGCCACGCUCCUCAGGUUCCGCCCGUCCUCCCCCGCCAGUACUCCGCCUCUUCCUAUCAGUCUUCAGCUUACAUGAUUCCCUAUUUUCCCUGAGAUUAUAAUUCUUUGUAAUUUUCUGUAAAUAACAAAUUAAUAUAAAUUACGUCUUCUUUUUCAAUAUGUACGGAUUUAAUCCUGGCCGGCGAUGUAGCGGCAGCUUUAACACAGACCGCAAAGUUACAUAUCCAAUUUAUCUUGUAAGCUAUUUUUUAUUUAACCGCAUCGGCUUACUUUCUUUUGUGGGAUUCCUCCUUGUUUUUAUUUUAUCUUGUUUCUUUUUUCUUGAAGAAAUUUUAUCUUGUUUCUAAAUGUUCGAAUUAGAUGUGAAACUAAUGACAAACGUAAGAACUAAAAUAUAAUAUUUUAAUUUUGUAAGGAAAAAAGAUGGGAUCAUAUCUAAGAUUAUGAAUGGUAACUACAAGAAUAAAUGGAUGAAAUAAAAUGAAUAAAAUUUAGAAAAGAGAAUAAAUUCAUUUUUCUCAUAAUUACAAUGAUAUAUUUUUCUUUGAAUUUACAUGAUGAACCUUAUUGAGAGACAAAAUUCAUCUCCAACAUAACUAUACUUCUUUUAGUUAUCAAUAAAAAAUGUGUAUGAAUUUAUUAUAUUUUUCUUUCUUUAUCUGCGUUAAAAGAGUUAAUUGAAUGUAGACAAGAUUAAAUAAAGAUUGGAUAACUAAAUGGUUUCUUUUAAAAUUAAAAACUAGUCAAUGAUUUACUUGAUAUAAUAAAGUCAAUGAUUUACUCCGUCUCUUCCUCUCAGCCUUCGGCCAUAUUUUCUCUGAUAUCGGGGACGGCUCAAAGAAACCAUCUGCCCUUGGACAAAACGAUUUUAAUAUUCCUUUUACGUAUAGGUAAAUUUGAGAAAUUUAGGCUAUUAUCCCUAAUUCUUUCAAUAUCAUUUAUGAAAAGAAGUUGGGUUCGGAGCUCACGCCCCUUGCCCAUGUUGUUUUUAAUAUCAUUUUUUUCCUUUAUAUGCAUACAUAUAAUGUUUAAAAAUUAUAGUGAAUAAUUUUGGUUUAAAUUUUUUAUAAAAUAAAUUAUGAUACUGUUAGUGAAUUUAAAUUUUAAAUAUAUAUAUAUAUAUUUUGUUGUAAUAUUUUAAUUUUAAAAUUUAAAUUAAAAAAAUUUAAAAUAUUUUUAUUUAUUUAUUUAUCUACUCGCAACCGUCCAAACGCCAGCAAAAAUCAACUUUUAAUUUUUUUUUUUUUUUGUCGCCAACAUUACAGACUCAUAUAGACUCUGUAAACCAAGCCGGGAGAUGUUGAUCCAUGUGAACGACGAAAGACGUUUGUUUCCUGACACUGCAUGCUAGGUUAUCUGCCUUUGUAUUUUGCGUUCUUGGUACAUGUAUAAUCUCUGAUCUUGUGAAACUCUCUUUCAAAGUCUUGAUAUCUUCCAGAUAACUUGCAAAAGUUGGCCACUCUUCUGGUUCCGAAACCAUCUUCACCAAUUGAGAACAAUCCGUUGCAAACGUAACCUGGUAUUGACGUAGAUUCCUCAUACAUUCCAUAGCCCAUAGAAGCGCCUCCAUCUCUUUCAACUUUUAAUUUUAAUAGGUUUAAAGUGGUUUGAACCGAUUUAUGGCGUCAUUUUUGUGGUUCUUGCAAUUUUGUAAAAUGCUAAUAACUAUAAUCAACUGUAAAAAUUGUGUUUGUGGAUCGUAGCUAGAAAAAUCAAUCAGACUCUUAGUCACUUUUUGUGGUUUUCCUCUUUGUUGUGUCAUGUUUCUA
rnacentral:lncRNA from 1 species